CCUACGGGUGGCAGCAGUGAGGAAUAUUGGUCAAUGGGCGGAAGCCUGAACCAGCCAAGUCGCGUGAGGGAGUAAGGCCCUACGGGUCGUAAACCUCUUUUGCCGGGGAGCAGUGCCCAGCUCGUGAGCUGGGAGGGAGCGUACCCGGAGAAAAAGCAUCGGCUAACUCCGUGCCAGCAGCCGCGGUAAUACGUAGGGAGCAAGCGUUGUCCGGAAUUACUGGGCGUAAGGGGCGCGUAGGUGGGUGCUUAAGUCAGGUGUGAAAACUCUGGGCUCAACCUGGAGACUGCACUUGAAACUGGGUAUCUUGAGGGCAGGAGAGGAAAGUGGAAUUCCUAGUGUAGCGGUGAAAUGCGUAGAUAUUAGGAGGAACACCAGUGGCGAAGGCGACUUUCUGGACUGUACCUGACGCUGAGGCGCGAAAGCGUGGGUAGCGAACGGGAUUAGAUACCCGAGUAGUC
rnacentral:rRNA from 1 species